UCUUCUCCGAAUAUGGCAUUUCUUUAUUUUUUAUUUUUUGUUUCACAAAUGAGAUGGCAUGUGAGUUUUGGAGGACCAAAAAAGGGACCGAGUAUUUUAUAAGAUUUAAGAGAAACUCUUCCCGAAUUAUUAUUUACCGGGCUUGUGGUGGGCACUUGAAAUACACUGGCUUGUGACCUCUAGUGGCUGGUUUAGAAACUCUUGUGCAUGUAGGUGCUGUACUGGAAGCGUUUAAAGUUCGAAGCUACCUGUUUUUAUUGUUUUAAUUUGAAUUUAAUGUUUGAAGCCAUGAGACUCUCGUGCCAGUGUCAGAGUCUUGGGGUGUAGUCACACCCGCUGUUGGAUCCACUUUCAACCGCUCUUGUCAUUUCUGUCCAAUGAUAGCACCAGCCAUCACAUGUGUCGACGUGAACUAUAGUUCACUUGCAAAAAGUACAGUGUGAACACAAACCACACCAAACGAAAAAAAAAUAAGUUUGCUUUUUGUCAAAUAACUGAAUGACUUUUCAGGUGCGAGUACAGCCUUAAUUACCUCAUCCUAAUUGAUCUGUGGUGUUGUUAAGAACUUGAGGUGCGCACGGAUCACUAGGGAUUAUCAGUUACAUAAGAACCUGUCUAUUCUCUCUUUCACUGCAAUGUCAGGGAACUAAUCUGCUCAUAAAUGGGGAUUACAAGAAUUCCUUUCCUUUAAUUUCCUUUCCCUAAAAAUAAUGAUUUUGCAAGGGGUAGCCAUUGAAGGUGGGACGAUUCACUUACCUCCAGAUUCAAUUCAAAUCACAAUGCUUGUGUGACAAUUAGAUUUAUAUCACAAUGAUUGAUGAUACUGCGAUUUGCAAUUCAAUAUGAAGGUUAUUGGUAUUUUUCUGAAAUGGUACAUUUUCUUAUAACAUUUUAAAAUAAUUCAUUUUAACAAUAUCAACCACAAACAAUACAUAAGUUGAAUCAUGUACUGUACUUCAAUCAUAGCAGCCAGAUGAAAGGCAGUUAGUCUUUUUGACAUUUAUUUCAGAAAGAGCCUAAGGUGGCUAAGGUACUGACUAACGCAUUCAGAUGACGUAGCACGAAUAGUGCUGAAUGCUUAAAGGCCAAGUGUAAAGUAAUUUCAUGAAAUGCCAAAUAGCGUCACAAUGAAAGUACCUAAACAUUGUCCACUAAAUAAAGCAAGAAAAAAUAAUGUAUAUUUUAUAUAUUUGACAAAAUAAUCGAUUUUCCGUGGUUCAAUCCUGAAAGAGGCGGAACCCGGAAGUGAUAUGUCACAUGGAGAACAGCGAUGGCAGAGCUCCAUACGGCCACAUGCAAAGCAUUUCAAACAAUGAUUCAAACAGCGAUACAAGCGAUCGAUCGAGCGCAAGUGAGGAUAUCCAAGUUUUUAAAGAGUUGGAUGAAGAAGAGGAGGUUGGAAUUUUACAUGUUGGACCUUACAUGUACGACCCAGACGCUAAUCAGGAUGCAAACAAUGUGCCCAGACGACCUGACAUGGAAUGGAGACAAGACCCAUCAAGAUUGGUAAGAUAUAGGCUGGUAUUAUUUUAUGAUAUUUAUUUUCAUAUAUUUAUGAUUUAAAGAUGCAGGCAUGUGCACAUAAUUUUGUGUAGGUGACAAUCUGAUGACAUUGUUUAGAAAAAAUACGACUUCAUGUUCAAGCAGUUAGCCUACUCGGUACUUGUGCAUUAUUUUUAGCAAAUCAUUUUUUGACUUGUACUUGAGAGAUUUUUGUAAUGACUUUUUAAAAAUUUGUACAGUAUUCCAUCCGUAUACUUGUAUAUUUUGAAUAAAAUGUUUUCAUAAACAACAGAAUUAUUGAUUGAGGGGUAUAGAAUCAGAAUCAUUUUUGUUGCCCAAGUACGUAGAAGACACAAAGAAUUUGUCUCCAGUAUAACACGCUGCAUUAGUAUCAUCAUAAAUAAGGACAUGACAAAUAAGUAUGGCAGGACAUUCCGGAAUGUAAGGGAACCGUAGUGCGGUGCUACUACCCAGUGACAACUCUGAGCUUAUUCAAUAAAAUGUAUGCUCAUGGUGCCACCGCUCAGUAUUUUACUUUUUUUAUUUCAGGUGUACUUGUGGUAAAUGCCAGCAAUUGCCUACAGCAGUCAAAUGUGUUUGCUGCCAUGAAAUCCAAGAAGGAGUGACUGUACGUCGACAAGGACAGGAACACUUCAAUCAGGUGCUGGACUGCAUCACCGACCAACCUGGACUCCAUGCUGUGUGCCUAGACCCAUACGGAUUACAGGUGGCAUGGAUGACCUACAAGCAGCAGUACAAAGGAAAGGCAUUUGAUGGGCCACAGGAUGCGCUGAUGCUGGAAGUUUCUUGGUCAGGACAACCGGGUUGUGCUCCCAGUAUGCGCCGUGUCUUGUAUCAGGGCACAUUUUCCACCACCAGGACGAAAGUCAGCUGUAUUUAAAGGGUUUCGUGUUUCACAGAGAAAUGUUCCAGAACUGUGAUUUGGACUGGUUUUAGAGUGGUUAAUGUGGACAUGUUGUCUAUCAUAACAAAAUACUGGAAUAAAAAUAAACAAAUGAGGACAACUGAA